rnacentral:tRNA from 1 species
UGGAGUAUAGCUCAGUGGUAGGGCACUUGCCUAACAUAUAUGAGGCCCUGAGUUCAACCCCCAGCACAGCAA